rnacentral:rRNA from 1 species
AGAGUUUGAUCCUGGCUCAGGAUGAACGCUGGCGGCAUGCCUAAUACAUGCAAGUCGAACGAAGUUUCUAGGAAGCUUGCUUCCAAAGAGACUUAGUGGCGAACGGGUGAGUAACACGUAGGUAACCUGCCCAUGUGUCCGGGAUAACUGCUGGAAACGGUAGCUAAAACCGGAUAGGUAUACAGAGCGCAUGCUCAGUAUAUUAAAGCGCCCAUCAAGGCGUGAACAUGGAUGGACCUGCGGCGCAUUAGCUAGUUGGUGAGGUAACGGCCCACCAAGGCGAUGAUGCGUAGCCGGCCUGAGAGGGUAAACGGCCACAUUGGGACUGAGACACGGCCCAAACUCCUACGGGAGGCAGCAGUAGGGAAUUUUCGUCAAUGGGGGAAACCCUGAACGAGCAAUGCCGCGUGAGUGAAGAAGGUCUUCGGAUCGUAAAGCUCUGUUGUAAGUGAAGAACGGCUCAUAGAGGAAAUGCUAUGGGAGUGACGGUAGCUUACCAGAAAGCCACGGCUAACUACGUGCCAGCAGCCGCGGUAAUACGUAGGUGGCAAGCGUUAUCCGGAAUUAUUGGGCGUAAAGAGGGAGCAGGCGGCAGCAAGGGUCUGUGGUGAAAGCCUGAAGCUUAACUUCAGUAAGCCAUAGAAACCAGGCAGCUAGAGUGCAGGAGAGGAUCGUGGAAUUCCAUGUGUAGCGGUGAAAUGCGUAGAUAUAUGGAGGAACACCAGUGGCGAAGGCGACGAUCUGGCCUGCAACUGACGCUCAGUCCCGAAAGCGUGGGGAGCAAAUAGGAUUAGAUACCCUAGUAGUCCACGCCGUAAACGAUGAGAACUAAGUGUUGGAGGAAUUCAGUGCUGCAGUUAACGCAAUAAGUUCUCCGCCUGGGGAGUAUGCACGCAAGUGUGAAACUCAAAGGAAUUGACGGGGGCCCGCACAAGCGGUGGAGUAUGUGGUUUAAUUCGAAGCAACGCGAAGAACCUUACCAGGGCUUGACAUCCCACUAACGAAGCAGAGAUGCAUUAGGUGCCCUUCGGGGAAAGUGGAGACAGGUGGUGCAUGGUUGUCGUCAGCUCGUGUCGUGAGAUGUUGGGUUAAGUCCCGCAACGAGCGCAACCCUUGUCGCAUGUUACCAGCAUCAAGUUGGGGACUCAUGCGAGACUGCCGGUGACAAACCGGAGGAAGGUGGGGAUGACGUCAAAUCAUCAUGCCCCUUAUGGCCUGGGCUACACACGUACUACAAUGGCGACCACAAAGAGCAGCGACUUGGUGACAAGAAGCGAAUCUCAUAAAGGUCGUCUCAGUUCGGAUUGAAGUCUGCAACUCGACUUCAUGAAGUCGGAAUCGCUAGUAAUCGCAGAUCAGCAUGCUGCGGUGAAUACGUUCUCGGGCCUUGUACACACCGCCCGUCAAACCAUGGGAGUCAGUAAUACCCGAAGCCGGUGGCAUAACCGUAAGGAGUGAGCCGUCGAAGGUAGGACCGAUGACUGGGGUUAAGUCGUAACAAGGUAUCCCUACGGGAACGUGGGGAUG